rnacentral:rRNA from 1 species
CUGGUGGCGAGUGGCGAACGGGUGAGUAAUAUAUCGGAACAUACCCUAGAGUGGGGGAUAACGUAGCGAAAGUUACGCUAAUACCGCAUACGAACUAAGGUUGAAAGUGGGGGAUCUUCGGACCUCAUGCUCAUGGAGUGGCCGAUAUCUGAUUAGCUAGUUGGUGAGGUAAAGGCUCACCAAGGCGACGAUCAGUAGCUGGUUUGAGAGAACGACCAGCCACACCGGAACUGAGACACGGUCCAGACUCCUACGGGAGGCAGCAGUGGGGAAUUUUGGACAAUGGGCGCAAGCCUGAUCCAGCAAUGCCGCGUGAGUGAAGAAGGCCUUCGGGUUGUAAAGCUCUUUUGUCAGGGAAGAAACGGUGAGUCCUAAUACGGCUUGCUAAUGACGGUACCUGAAGAAUAAGCACCGGCUAACUACGUGCCAGCAGCCGCGGUAAUACGUAGGGUGCAAGCGUUAAUCGGAAUUACUGGGCGUAAAGCGUGCGCAGGCGGUUAUAUAAGUCAGAUGUGAAAUCCCCGGGCUCAACCUGGGAACUGCAUUUGAGACUGUAUGGCUAGAGUGUGUCAGAGGGGGGUAGAAUUCCACGUGUAGCAGUGAAAUGCGUAGAUAUGUGGAGGAAUACCGAUGGCGAAGGCAGCCCCCUGGGAUAACACUGACGCUCAUGCACGAAAGCGUGGGGAGCAAACAGGAUUAGAUACCCUGGUAGUCCACGCCCUAAACGAUGUCUACUAGUUGUCGGGACUUAAUUGUCUUGGUAACGCAGCUAACGCGUGAAGUAGACCGCCUGGGGAGUACGGUCGCAAGAUUAAAACUCAAAGAAAUUGACGGGGGCCCGCACAAGCGGUGGAGCAUGUGGUUUAAUUCGAUGCAACGCGAAGAANCCUUACCUGGGCUUGACGUGAACUGNNNNGGUGGNAGA